UACAGAAUUUUAGGUUUAUGAUUGUGUUCAUUUUGAAUCUAUUAGCCUUUGAAAGAAGAUAAAUUUCAACUGUUGCCUUUUUAUUUGAGAAUGAAAAAUAACCUCGGUAACAACUUGUUGCAUGUACUUAACCCAACAUAUCGUGACAGUUUUAUGUAAUGACACAAACUAAUGUUUUAUCCAUGUAGACUGUCUCGAUGGGGAUGAUUCAUGCCUAUCCAUAUGAAGCUCUCUCUCUCUCUCUCUCUCUCUCUCUCUCUCUCUCUCUUUCUCUCUCUCUCUCUCUCUCUCCAUAAUUUAAACACAGAUGCCUUUAACGGAGGCCACCACAUUCAGCACUUUGGAAGGGUUUCCAUGCAUCUUAUUUAUCUUUAUAGAUGUAGAUAAUAUGAAAUGCAGCAGGCAGUAAAUUUUUGGGAAGCUACCAUAUAGCACAAUAUAGUUUUCGCUACACGUUUCCCAUGGAACCUGAAAUUUUACUGAAGGAUAUCUAUUUUCAUUGCAUGAAUAUGACAUUAGACUUGUGAUUAAACUGUUGAAAACAUAAAAGGAGUAUUGUAUAAUAAAAACUUAUUACUUAUCAUACCAAAAUGGUUUUAGUGUUAAAAACCAUAUUCCAUUGAAGGUAGAGGAAAAUGCCAUAGAAGUAAAGAAUUGGCUGCCUUUUUAGAUCACACCUCAAUGACCUAUCAAUAAUUCAGAAUUUCAGAUACAAUCCUCGGAGAAAAUAUGGUUUGCUCAUACAGUAGACUCUCUAUUGCUAUGAAUAAUGUUCUACCUACAGAGUAAAAUAAAAUGAACUUAUUAUAUGAUGGACCUGAUGCUUCACGUAAAUAGUUUUAUUUAAGAGUUAGUUUUCUUAGCUUCUGCCAUUUUAUUUUAGUUUAUUCUCGAAGUUGCUGCAGCUGAUUUCAAUUCGUAUGGAACAUGCUUUGAAAGCAUUUUAAUGGGUCUUUGAAUUUACAUAACUAGUUCAUGUCUGUAUAAUGCCUAUUUGCAGCAAUGCUUUCUUCAGCCAAAGCCUAUUUUCUUUUGUUCUAGGUGAUAUGAUAUCUUUGUUUAUUUAUCUCCUGUUGUAUCUCUGUUACCUCUGUUUCUUGUUGUUAAUGGCUAUAGACAGAGGCAGGAGGAAUAUAGAAUUGUGUUAUCCAUUUCUCCAAGUAAUUUUCUUCACUGAUGCUUUCCAGCUGUCAAAGGAGCCAAGAUUUGUAUAUACUGUGGAUAUAGAUGUCAGAAAACUCCUGAGUUUAGAGCCUCAUACUUGGGAUUUCAUUUAUCGACUGAAGCCUAAAGUUGGGCUAGUUGAACAUAUGCCUAAUGAAAGAGUUUCUGGUGAUUUGAUCAGUAUAAUAAAUGAUGUCAAAAAGAACCACCGCGGUUCACCAACAAGAGAAAAUGGAUCCAACAUUGGUUUUGGGUCAGAGAAAUCAUACAAGUGCCCAACAACCAGAAAGCCAAAAAUUGCAGUUGUUGGUAGUGGACCCUCUGGCCUCUUUGCUUCACUUGUUCUUGCAGAACUUGGUGCUGAUGUUACCUUAAUAGAAAGAGGCCAAGCAGUGGAACAAAGAGGGCGUGACAUUGGUGCUCUAAUUGUCCGUCGUGUUCUGCAAAUGGAAAGCAAUUUUUGCUUUGGGGAGGGUGGUGCAGGUACCUGGAGUGAUGGUAAGCUGGUAACUAGAAUUGGAAGAAACAGUGGCAGUGUUCUGGCGGUUAUGAAAACUUUGGUUCACUUUGGAGCUCCAAAAAAUAUCUUGGUGGAUGGUAGGCCUCACUUGGGAACAGAUAGAUUGAUUCCUUUGCUCCGUAACUUUCGGCAACAUCUACAAGCAUUGGGGGUCACUAUCAAGUUUGGGACCAGGGUUGACGAUCUGCUUGUAGAGGGUGAACGUGUUGUGGGGGUGAAAGUUUCUGAUUCAAGUGACAAAUUGCAGUCCAAUAGCCAGAAGUUGAGAUAUGAUGGUGUAGUUUUGGCUGUUGGGCAUUCUGCACGUGAUAUAUACCAGAUGCUUCUUUCUCACAAUAUGGUGUUGGUCCCAAAAGAUUUUGCUGUUGGUUUGCGGAUUGAGCACCCUCAAGAACUAAUAAAUAGAAUACAGUAUUCUGCAUUGGCCACUGAGGUUUGUAAAGGACGUGGAAAAGUACCGGUGGCAGAUUACAAGGUCGUCAAGUAUGUUUAUGGAGAGGAUGGUGACCCACGUUCCAAUUCAGGAGAAAUGAGUUGCAGCUGCUACUCCUUCUGCAUGUGUCCUGGUGGACAGGUAGUUCUUACUAGUACAAAUCCAUCCGAACUAUGCAUCAAUGGCAUGUCUUUCUCUCGACGUGCUUCAAAUUGGGCAAAUGCUGCACUUGUUGUUUCUGUCUCAUCAAAGGAUUUUGAUGCACUAAGUUUCAACGGACCUCUUGCAGGGGUGGAAUUUCAGAGGGAAUUUGAGCGAAGGGCAGCUAUAAUGGGUGGGGGGAAUUUUGUGGUGCCUGUGCAGACGGUUACUGAUUUUUUGGAAAACAAGCUAUCAGUAACAUCUCUGCCACCAUCAAGUUACCGAUUAGGAGUGAAGGCAGCGAAUCUCCACGAGCUAUUUCCAAUCCAUAUUACAGAGGCUUUGCAGUAUUCCAUCUCAGCAUUCGACAGAGAGUUGCCAGGAUUCAUAUCCAGUGAGGCCCUUCUCCAUGGAGUGGAGACUAGAACCAGCUCUCCCAUCCAGAUUCCACGCGACAUUGACACAUACGAGAGCACAUCAUUGAAAGGACUCUAUCCAGUUGGUGAAGGAGCAGGUUAUGCUGGAGGGAUUGUAAGUGCUGCAGUUGAUGGCUUGUAUGCAGGUUUUGCUGUGGCAAGAAAUUUUGGUUUGUAUGAUGAUAGCAUAGAGAACAUUUUGGGAAAGGCUCAGAGCCCAGGACUUGUGAAGUACUAGGAGCUAUUUGGUUGUUUCACCAUUAAACAAUGCAAGCCGCCUGAACAACCUCAAUUAUCUACAUGGUUCCACAUAGCCAAUAAAGGUCAAGGAUCAGUUUGCAUCCUACGGUCAUACCUGGAGGCAAAGUCAAGGAAUAAUGUCUGUUGGUGUCGAUUAGACAUUCCUACAUAGUAUGAUUGACUAUUAUAAAUCCGUCAACUGUCUCUGUCUUUUGGUUUUGGUAGGGCAGUUUACUGUAUAAUUUGCUUCCAGUCUGCUGUGAAGUGGAUCCUAGGGUCGGCCACCGAUCACUUCGAUGAUGCAACCAUAGUCUAACCUUGGGGAAGUCCCGUAGCAGGGGCAACAUCUCAAGCAACCAGGACUUGAAAAGAAAUUUUGUAAAAUUAGCCCUUGUUAUUUACAGUUGAUCAGAACAUUAAUUACUUAAAUUGAGCAAGUGACGUUUAAAGGAUGAACAUAUAUUUGUCAUAUAGAAACCUUGAGUAGGUACUCAUUCUAUCAAUGUAAAGUUCUGCCCAUCAGUGUUGUAGCUUCCUGUUUUGUCUUUGA